AAACUCUAUCUGUGAAGGAUGUAGUUUCUUCUGCAAAGUCUCUUGAAAGAGAAAUGGCUGAGCUUAAAGAAAACACUAAGGUGGUGAAUACAGCU
rnacentral:sRNA from 1 species